rnacentral:misc_RNA from 1 species
GGAGAAUUCCAAUGUUAUGAUAAGUACAUGAAAACUUCAUUGGAAGCAUCGGCUGAAGCAAUUGGAAAGAAGGACUGGGGACGGGGUGGGCCCAUGAUGCUGGCCAGUAUAAUCAAUUUCCUGAAGAAACUGAAUUUUUCCAAAGAGAUGGAACAUGGAACACUGAAUACGGACAGUUUUUCUUAGAAUGGUACUCAGGCAAGCUAUUAGAUCAUGUUGACAGAAUCCUAGCAGCUGCAAAAGGAAUAUUUCAAGGUGUUAUGGAAAGUCAAUCACUA